rnacentral:rRNA from 1 species
ACUCCUACGGGAGGCAGCAGUGGGAAUUUUGCACAAUGGGCGCAAGCCUGAUGCAGCCAUGCCGCGUGUGUGAAGAAGGCCUUCGGGUUGUAAAGCACUUUCAGUUGUGAGGAAAGGUUAGUCGCUAAUAUCGGCUAGCUGUGACGUUAGCAACAGAAGAAGCACCGGCUAACUCCGUGCCAGCAGCCGCGGUAAUACGGAGGGUGCGAGCGUUAAUCGGAAUUACUGGGCGUAAAGCGCGUGUAGGUGGCUUGUUAAGCCAGACUGAAGCCAAGGCCCUGCCAACCUGGGAACUGCAUUUGGAACUGGCAGGCUAGAGUUUUGUAGAGGGUGGUAGAAUUUCAGGUGUAGCGGUGAAAUGCGUAGAGAUCUGAAGGAACACCGGUGGCGAAGGCGACCACCUGGCCAAUAACUGACACUGAGACGCGAAGGCGUGGGUAGCAAACGGGAUUAGAUACCCUGGUAGGCUCUG